rfam:Arthrospira platensis NIES-39 DNA, nearly complete genome.
AGGAGCCGUGUGCUGGGAAACUUGCAAGCACGGUUUGGAAUUGGAGUUGGGGAAGGUGACUUCUCUUUCGACCAUAAC